CGGCCCCUGCGGGAGGGAAGGGGUCGUGCACACGUUCAGCCCCCUCGCGCCUGGCUCUGGACCACACGGGCCAGGUCCCCGAGGGAGCCCGGUGGCUGGAGGCCCCUGGACCACAUGGGCCAGGUCCCCGAGGGAGCCCGGUGGCUGAAGGCCCCUGGACCACACGGGCCAGCUCCCUGAGGGAGCCCGGUGGCUGAAGGCCCCUGGACCACACGGGCCAGCUCCCUGAGGGAGCCCGUGUAGCUGGAGGCCCCUGGACCACAUGGGCCAGCUCCCCGAGGGAGCCCGGUGGCUGGAGGCCCCUGGGAGCUGAUGGGGCAGUGCUGUGCAAGCAUCAGAUCAAAAUCCCCAAAAAGUAGUGGCCAAGUUAGGGGGCAGGCUCAUGAGGGCGGAGCCAGGGUGGUCGGUGGAAGCGGCCCCGCCCCAGGCGCCCACUUACCCGUCCUGGUCCUUUUCCACCAUCUUCAGCCCCUCCAGGGCCUGCAGGACGCGGCGGGCCACGCUCUUGGAGCCGCGGCUGAAGUGGCUGGGCAUGACGCCGUUCCUCUGCCGGCCCCCGUAGAUCUUGGUCAUGGAGCCGACGCCAGCACCGCCCCGCAGGUACA